AGCCACAGAGGAGAACUUUGCAGCCAGUCCUGAAGAUACCUGAUAAAACAGGGUCAGAUGAAAGGGGAGGAGGUCCUCCCCUAUCAGUGGACUUGGAAAGAGGCAGGGAGGAGAUGAGGGAGGAAGGGUGGGAUUGGGAGGGAAUAAGGGAGCGGGAUACAGCUGGGCUACAGAGUUAAUAAAAUGUAACUAAUAAUAAAAAAAAUAAAUUAAAUUAAAAAAAAUCACCCCCAAAGAUCAAGAGGCUAAUGGGCUCUAGAGUUCAAUGAGGAACAGCCUAGAAUCUGGAAGCUGAGCUGGGGAGCCAGGAGCUGGCUGGAGUCAGUUGUGGGAGUGUGUCCACGGAGCAAAGGGGAACUUCAGAUACUAUCGUCACUGAGAGGCGGAGAGGAAGGAAGAGAGUUAAAACACUUCAACAGAGGCAAGGGGUUGAAGAGGGGGAUUGAAGGGUAGGCAUUCAGCAACAGGUUAUCUGGAGCUUGUGGGGGACCUUAAAGGCUUUAGGGAGUCUUAAAGACCCCAGCCUCUUUCAACAACCCUCAACACUCUACCAACACUCUAGAUGGGUUUGCCGCCAAGAGCUGGGGCUGCAGCCCUUCACAGAUUCCCAGCCCAGCCUGUCCAUGUCUGCGUCUUUUUGUCUCUGUGACUGACAAGACAAAUCCAGUCAUGGAGCUGGAAAAGCCUGCUAGAUGAUCACAGAGCAGCGACUGCGGCUUGCAGGGCAGGCACCAAGUUCCUGGCCCUGAAGAGAGGAGGUCAUCCCAUGGGUCAAGUGGUGGAUAUCCAGGAUGCAGCAGCAAGGCUGAAAAAAUAUGAAGAAGUUAACUAAAGAAGAAAGGAAGCCUCGUUUUACACAUCCAGAGGACAUCGUUGGGUAGACUUUUAAAUACACAGGCCUGGGAUCAGCGAGGCAGGCUCAGGGGCUACACCUGCCUGCUGUGCAAUCCUGGCAACUUGAUUUCAUCCGCGGCUCCCACACAGAGAUAGGAGGAAAGAACAGACUCCACAAAGUUGUCCUCUGACCUCCACACACAUUCCUUAGUACAGGUGGCCCACCCCACCCCACGCCCUAUUUGUAAUGUACACACAAACACAGUAAUAAAAACUAAGCCUGGAGGCCUAUGGUUAGA